AACGAACGCUGGCGGCAUGCCUAACACAUGCAAGUCGAACGAGACCUUCGGGUCUAGUGGCGCACGGGUGCGUAACGCGUGGGAACCUGCCCUUAGGUUCGGAAUAACUCCCCGAAAGGGGUGCUAAUACCGGAUAAUGUCUUCGGACCAAAGAUUUAUCGCCUUUGGAUGGGCCCGCGUUGGAUUAGCUAGUUGGUAGGGUAAAAGCCGACCACGGCUACGAUCCAUAGCUGGUCUGAGAGGCUGAUCAGCCACACUGGGACUGAGACACGGCCCAGACUCCUACGGGAGGCAGCAGUGGGGAAUAUUGGACAAUGGGCGAAAGCCUGAUCCAGCAAUGCCGCGUGAGUGAUGAAGGCCUUAGGGUUGUAAAGCUCUUUUACCCGGGAUGAUAAUGACAGUACCGGGAGAAUAAGCUCCGGCUAACUCCGUG
rnacentral:rRNA from 1 species